rnacentral:rRNA from 1 species
AAUAUUGGACAAUGGGCGCAAGCCUGAUCCAGCCAUGCCGCGUGAGGGAAGAAGGCCCUAGGUUUGAAAAGCACUUUCACCGGUGAAGAUAAUGACGGUAGCCGGAGAAGAAGCACCGGCUAACCUCGUGCCAGCAGCCGCGGUAAUACGAAGGGGGCUAGCGUUGUUCGGAAUUACUGGGCGUAAAGCGCACGUAGGCGGAUCGGUAAGUUAGGGGUGAAAUCCCGGGGCUCAACCCUGGAACUGCCUUUAAUACUGCUGGUCUGGAGUUCGAGAGAGGUGAGUGGAAUUCCGAGUGUAGAGGUGAAAUUCGUAGAUAUUCGGAGGAACACCAGUGGCGAAGGCGGCUCACUGGCUCGAUACUGACGCUGAGGUGCGAAAGCGUGGGGAGCAAAC